UAGUCCCAGUUUGUCUGAUUCCUAGCCCUGUGUUGUAGCCUCUGCCCCUUGUUUCCCUAGAAGUCGGCCCAGGCCUGUGGGCACUUUGGAAAAAAGCCUCUCCUAACUGUCCCACAGAGGUUUUCUCGUGUGCUGCUGCUGAGGUUUGUGUGAGCUGCUAUUUUCCACCCUCCCGCUGGAUUUUCUCACGGCGCUCAGGCCUGGGAAACAGAGGGACGAAGGCUUGUGUGCAGCCCUGACAAAACAGCUGGAAUGCCCCUCCCUGCUCUGCUCCAGGCCUUCCCCUUUUGUUCCAUGCAAGGCAUCGCAGAGCCCAGUGUUAGAGGACGUUGGCGGAGCCUCUUUGCCACGCAGGGAGCCCACGCAGCCCCUUGCCUGACUCCAAAACCUGCUCCUUUCCCCAGGAUCAGCUCCUGCCUGCAGCUCUCCAUCUUUCCCAGCAGCAGCAUCCUCCAGCCCUGGCUGCAUCUGCAUCCUUGUCAGCCCCCUCCUCCUCUGGCUUCUCUCAUUCUCCUUGUGUCUGCCUGGAUGCAGCAAGCUUGAGCCUAAGGGAGUGGCUCGCUGUGCCCAAGGGGAAGCCCUGCAGCCUCCAGGAAGGUUGGAGUAGCAAGCGGCUGCAGCAGGCAGGCUGGAGAGCUCCUCCUCCGCCCCCCUGCAACCUGGAUGCUGAGAAGAGAGAAGGUCUGUGAAGAUGGAAGAAGGGGUCCAUCAGCUAGAAGCCUGACUUGGUGACGCUGGGAAAAUCUUCCAUCUCUUGGUAGCUGCUUGCCUGAAAUACAGAACAAGACAAAUAUGCUGAAGCCAAGUGGACUUAAAAUCCCUGGCAGGGCAGGGAAACACUCCAGCCCGGUGGGACGGACUUCCGGGACAGUUACAGCUGCUGUCACCACCAGCUCUAAGGAAGGCUCACCUCUGCACAAGCAAGGUCCCGCCUCUACCGGCAGUGCUGAGAAGUCAGGCCCAAAGGUUGCUGAGGUUGGCGAUGACUUCUUGGGAGACUUUGUGGUGGGUGAACGUGUCUGGGUGAAUGGAGUGAAGCCAGGUGUGAUCCAGUACCUCGGGGAGACGCAAUUUGCUCCCGGCCAGUGGGCAGGGGUCGUUCUGGAUGAUCCGGUGGGUAAGAAUGAUGGCUCUGUUGGCGGGGUACGUUACUUCGAGUGCCAGCCGCUGCAGGGGAUUUUUACACGACCCUCCAAGCUCACCCGCCAGCCUGUGGCAGAGGGAUCGGGGAGCGAUGCCCAUUCUGUGGAGUCCCUCACAACUCAGAACUUGUCACUGCAUUCGGGGACGGCCACCCCACCCCUUUCUACUCGCGUCAUUCCUCUGAGGGAGAGCGUCCUGAAUAGCACCAUGAAGACUGGCAACGAGUCUGGAUCUAACCUUUCAGACAGCGGGUCGGUGAAGAAAGGGGAGAAGGAUUUGCGGCUUGGAGAUCGCGUCCUGGUUGGUGGGACAAAGACGGGAGUCGUGCGCUAUGUGGGAGAGACAGACUUUGCCAAAGGAGAGUGGUGCGGAGUGGAACUGGAUGAGCCCUUGGGGAAGAACGAUGGAGCAGUCGCUGGUACAAGGUACUUCCAGUGCCCCCCCAAGUUUGGCCUCUUCGCUCCCAUUCACAAAGUGAUCCGUAUUGGGUUCCCAUCCACCAGUCCUGCCAAAGCGAAGAAGAGCAAGCGGAUGGCCAUGGGAGUGUCUGCCCUGACCCAUAGCCCCAGCAGUUCGUCCAUCAGCUCUGUCAGCUCUGUGGCAUCCUCGGUUGGGGGCAGACCCAGCCGGAGCGGACUGCUGACAGAGACAUCCUCUCGCUAUGCCCGGAAAAUCUCUGGCACCACAGCCCUGCAGGAGGCACUGAAGGAGAAGCAGCAGCACAUCGAGCAGCUACUGGCUGAGCGUGAUCUGGAGAGAGCGGAGGUUGCCAAGGCCACCAGCCACAUCUGUGAAGUGGAGAAAGAAAUUGCCAUCCUGAAGGCCCAGCAUGAGCAGUAUGUCACCGAAGCGGAAGGGAAUCUCCAGCGUGCACGAGCCCUGGUGGAUGGAAUGCAAAAGGAAAAGUUUGAGCUGUUGAACCAACUGGAAGAGGAAAAAAGGAAAGUGGAGGACCUGCAGUUCCGUGUGGAGGAGGAGUCCAUUACCAAGGGUGAUCUGGAGUUGACCACGGUGGAAGAGAAGUCGAGAAUCCUGCAGCUGGAGGAAGAGCUGAGUCUCAGGCACAGUGAAGUGGAGGAGCUCAGACAGUGUCUAAAGAACUCCCAUCAGGCCGAGACUCCUGAGCCCAACCUUGGCUUGCAUUCAGAGGCUCUUCGUUUGCGAGACCAACUGCUGUCUGCUAACAAAGAGCACCAAAAAGAGAGCAGUCAGCUGAAGGAAAGGUAUGAGAAGACCCUGAAGAAAUACCAGCAGGAGAUGGAGAAGCUGAAAGCCACGAAUGAAAAGUACUCCCAGGAAAUAGUUGACCUAAAACAUAAAGUUCAACAAGCCACCAAUGAGAAUAUGGGGUUGAUGGACAACUGGAAGUCCAAGCUGGACACCUUGGCUUCUGACCAUCAGAAGUCCCUGGAGGAUUUCAAAGCCACCCUCAACACAGGGUCUGAAACCCAGCACAAAGAGAUAGUAGAAUUGAAAGCCGUGGUAGAGAGCAUAAAGAUGGAGCACCAGCUUGAGCUGGAGAACCUUAAAGCCAAGCAUGAUAUUGAGACUGCUGUUCACAUAAAGGAGAAAGAAAGUCUGAAGCUGAAGCUGCAGGAGGCCAGGGAUGAAAUGGAAAAAAGCAACAAUGACUGGAAAAUGCAACUGGAAAUCAAAACCAACCAGCACCUUAUAGAAGUUCAGGACAUGAAGGACAAGUACCGAGAUGCCGAACUGAGAGUGCACGAACUGGAGAAGCUACACAGUGAAUAUAAAGACCAGACACAAGCAAUAGCUUUCUUGAAAGAACAGAUUUCUCUGGCUGAGAAGAAGAUGUUGGACUAUGAGACGCUACAGAAAACAGAGGCCCAGAGUAAGCAGGAGAUCCAAAGACUCCAGGAAAAAGUGCUCGUCUUGGAGAACAAACUGCAGUCCAUGGAGGCCCUGCAUCCUUCUCAGCACGCAAAUAUGAUUGAAACAAAUGAUAUUUCAGAAGAAAAGAUAAAAAUGAAGCAGACCAUGGAAGAGCUGCAAGACAAACUGAGUAAGAGAGACAAAGAGGUGUCAUCACUGGUCUCCCAGACUGAAACUCUAAGGGCCCAAGUAAGUGCAUUGGAAAAUAAAAGCAAAUCUGCAGAGAAGAAGACGGAUUCAUUGUUGAAGGAGAAGAAAAGGUUGGAAACUGACCUGGACGCCUUGUCCAGGAAAACCCAUGAUGCUUCAGGACAGUUGGUCCUGAUUAGCCAGGAGCUACUCAAAAAAGAAAGGAGCUUGAAUGAGUUGCGGGCUUUAUUACUGGAAGCCAAUCGUCAUUCACCCGGGCCGGAGAGAGACCUGAGCCGAGAGGUGCACAAAGCAGAGUGGAGGCUGAAGGAGCAGAAGCUCAAAGAUGACAUCAAGGGCCUAAGAGAGAAGCUGAUAGUGCUGGAUAAAGAGAAGUCAGUAACAGACCAAAGGCGGUACUCCCUGAUCGACCCGUCAUCGGACUCGGAGGUUAUCCGGCUGCAGCACCGGCUGGUCAGCACUGAGGACGUCCUGAGGAACGCGUUGGAGCAGGGGCACCAGAUGGAGAAGCUCGUGGAGGCCAUGAGAAUUUCUUCUGAGAAGACGCAGAGUUCGAGUCAAAUUUCUAGCAUCUGAUGACUCUCCAGGCACAGCCAUGGUGACUUCUGCAGUGUGGAAGAUGCAGUGUAUUGUAGAAAAUUGGAAUGGCUAGGAAAUGCAGGGCUGAAACACCCCGGGACCAAGCUGCUGCUCUGAGAUGAUGUGUUACCAUAUGAGAGACCAUUGGGAACGCUGCCUCUGCUAAUGGGAUCCAUCAGCAGGAUAAGUCCCACAAGCAAGAAGAGAAGCUCUGAUAGAGAAGGGGGCGGAGAGGACCAUUUCAUGCCAGUAUCAGCACCUGUGCACGGACAGGACGAGGGAUGCCACAUCUGGCUUGAGCACCUCCUAAGGACCAGUCACAGUAUUUUUACUUUACAGACAGGACAGUGUUUAUAAUGUACUAACUGACUGAAGUAGGACAAUCCCCUGAUCCAAAUUUUCCAAGAUGAGCAUCAUUCCAGAACGGGGCAUGGGGAUGUCCCUGUGUAAAGGUACCUUUGUUUUGGUUUCUUAUGGUUUGGACUGUGGAAUCGGCAUUGGCCAAAGGAGACCAGUGCUGUUAGUCCCACCUGGAUGGCAUGGCCUGGAUGACAGCUGACUGACAUGGUGGCUGGAACAUCAUUGGUGACUCCUUGUAACCCCAGAGGAACACUGAAGGGAUUUGCUUGUGACACUAAGAAACUGCUGAGCAUACUGCCACAGGCUGCACGCACGCCAGUUGUCUCUCUCCACCUCUUCCAUCCACCCCCAUGUUCUCAAGAACUACACAGGUGAGGGAAAACCCCAGGGCUGAGUCCACUCCCACUGAAGAAAAAGAGCUAGUGAGGAACACUGCUGCCUCUCCUGCAUGGAAGAUGCUUUGACUCCAGACCAUAGAGACUCUGCUUUAUUUUUCCUGAUGGUGUGUCGUGUUCAACCUGAUUUGAAGAGACACUGAAUUCAGUCCAAGUCACUAGCUGCUGUCUAGGAGUUGGUGUUUAUGAGGGGAGAGUGCCUCUGUCAGCUUUGCUUAGUCUAUCUCUGCACUGAGAGGUCCCUUAGCAGGACUGGCUGGGCCAGAGCCCAGAGGUGGGAGCACAGUGGUACAUGGGUGUGUUGGGUGCUCUUUUAGAUGUGCAAUGCAAAGCUUCCUUCUCCCUGGCAAGCAGCAACUUUGAUUCAGACUCCUGAACUGCAUGGCAG